rnacentral:rRNA from 1 species
CAGCAGCCGCGGGAAUACGAAGGGUGCAAGCGUUACUCGGAAUUACUGGGCGUAAAGCGUGCGUAGGUGGUGGUUUAAGUCCGUUGUGAAAGCCCUGGGCUCAACCUGGGAAUUGCAGUGGAUACUGGGUCACUAGAGUGUGGUAGAGGAUAGUGGAAUUUCCGGUGUAGCAGUGAAAUGCGUAGAGAUCGGAAGGAACAUCUGUGGCGAAGGCGACCAUCUGGGACAACACUGACGCUGAGGCACGAAAGCGUGGGGAGCAAACAGGAUUAGAUACCCCGGUAGUCCCUGUCUCUUAUAC